rnacentral:rRNA from 1 species
CCCUUAGAUGUUCUGGGCAGCACGCGCGCUACAAUGGUCUUCGCAAACGGAUGCAUUCUCGAAGGAGAAUGCCAAUCUUGGAAUCUAUGCCUUGGUCGGGACAGUUGCUUGCAAUUUUUCGACUCGAACCAGGAAUUCCUUGUAAUCGUGAUUCAUCACAUCACGAUGAAUACGUCCCUGCCCUAUGUACACACCGCCCGUCGCUCCUACCGAUCGAAGAGUUAGGUGAAUUGUUUUGAUCGAUAAGAUUUGACUAUGGUCAACUCUCGUUGUGAAAUUCUGUGAAUCUGACUGUUUAGAGGAAGGAAAAGUCGUAACA